GCGGGCGUAGCUCAGCUGGUUAGAGCGCUUCCCUGUCACGGAAGAGGUCGAGGGUUCGAAUCCCUUCGCUCGCG
rnacentral:tRNA from 5 species